rnacentral:rRNA from 1 species
CCUACGGGUGGCAGCAGUGGGGAAUAUUGGACAAUGGGCGAAAGCCUGAUCCAGCCAUGCCGCGUGUGUGAAGAAGGCCUUCGGGUUGUAAAGCACUUUCAGUGGGGAAGAAAGCCUUGGGGCUAAUACCCUCGAGGAAGGACAUCACCCACAGAAGAAGCACCGGCUAACUCCGUGCCAGCAGCCGCGGUAAUACGGAGGGUGCGAGCGUUAAUCGGAAUUACUGGGCGUAAAGCGUGCGUAGGCGGUCUGAUAAGCCGGUUGUGAAAGCCCCGGGCUCAACCUGGGAACGGCAUCCGGAACUGUCAGGCUAGAGUGCAUGAGAGGAAGGUAGAAUUCCCGGUGUAGCGGUGAAAUGCGUAGAGAUCGGGAGGAAUACCAGUGGCGAAGGCGGCCUUCUGGACUGACACUGACGCUGAGGUGCGAAAGCGUGGGUAGCAAACAGGAUUAGAUACCCGUGUAGUC